CUGCUUAACACAAGUUGAGUAGGGAAAGUUUUUCGGUGUAGGAUGGGACUAUAUAGUAUCAGCUAGUUGGUGAGGUAAUGGCUCACCAAGGCUAUGACGCUUAACUGGUCUGAGAGGAUGAUCAGUCACGCUGGAACUGAGACACGGUCCAGACUCCUACGGGAGGCAGCAGUAGGGAAUAUUGCGCAAUGGGGGAAACCCUGACGCAGCAACGCCGCGUGGAGGAUGACACUUUUCGGAGCGUAAACUCCUUUUCUUGGGGAAGAAUUCUGACGGUACCUAAGGAA
rnacentral:rRNA from 1 species